rnacentral:rRNA from 1 species
GUCGAACGGUAACAGGAAGCGCUUGGCUGCUUCUGUGACGAGUGGCGGAGGGGUGAGUAGUGUGUGGGGAUGUGCCUGGGGGGGGGGGAUAUCUAGUGGAAACGGUAUCUAAUACCGCAUAACGUCGCAAGACCAAAGAGGGGGACCUUCGGGCCUCUUGCCAUCAUAUGAACCCAUAUGGGAUUAUCUAAUGGGGGGGGUAACGGCUCACCUGGGACACUAUCCCUAUCUGGUCUGAGAGGAUGCCCACCCACUGUGGCUGUGACACACGGCCCACACUCCUACGGGAGGCAGCAGUGGGGAAUAUUGCACUGUGGGCAAAACCCUGAUGCAGAUGCGCCGCGUGUGUGAAGAGGGCCUUGGGUGUGUAAAGUACUCUCAGGGGAGAGGAGGGCGAUGGGGUUUAUACCCGUGGCUAGUGACUUUACCCACAAAAGACACACCG